ACAACUGCGCAGCUUGUCCUCGUUUGCCCACGGCUAUAUAAGGCCCUCAUGACGUCAGCGCCCACAUUCAUUCCUCAGCGUUGGUGCGAUUUAGACGUGAGUUUGUGUCGUGCAGUGACAAGUUUUUCAAGAAGUGAAUUCUCUAUAGCCUGUUGGAUUCAGUCCCAUUGCGUUUCGCGUGGGUCUGCAUCCGUCGGCCGCCAUCUUGGCUGCCCCUGGGCGUGGUCGCGCUGCUUACUUCAAAAUGGGUUUGUAACGGUAUCGUGCAUUUAUUUAGUUAAUUAAAUUGAUAUUGUGUAUAUAAGAUGUUUCAAUUUUUUCUAUUAAGUACUUAAUGGUAAAAUUGGAAAUUAAAUUUUAUUCAUAUUGAAUAAGAAAAUUGUAACAUAUGUUUAAGUAUAAAAAUAAAAGAAUUUUCAAAAAGUUGUUGUCGUCUUUCUCAACUUCAUAUUCUUUUUUAUUUUCUUGUGAUUUCACCACGCACAAAUGUAAUUUUCCAUGAGUCAACGUCACUACGUGAAGAGAGAUAUGGACAUGUGGCUGGCGUCACGUGAUCGAGUUCGGUGUUUGUCGGCCGAGUGGCGACUAGCUGAGGCGCUUCGGCUGCUGCUCGUGCUGUGGAGGCACACUGGUGCUGCUUGUGAUAAACGCCGCGGACACGAAUCUCUAUAGUCCCAGUUGUCAGCCCACUAGGUAAAAGUUAGGUGGUUGCGUCAUAAUUACAUUAUGUGUAGGAAAUAACUUAGGGUCUGCGCGCGGGCCCAUACCUGUAACAUUGUCUUUAGACCUCAGAUAACUGCCGUUUCUACUUGAAACACUGCCGCAUCGGCCUUCAACAGGGCUACAGUUGACUGCGUGAGCGCACGCGGAAACUUCCAUAGUCUCGAGUCGGUACCUAUGCAUAUAAGAUGACGUACGUUGGUGAGUCAUUUAUUGUUCACGAGAAAUGUAACAUUAUUUAGUAAUUGUGUGUACAGAGAUCUCUAAUCUUAAGACUUCAAUUGUUUAGUAGCUUUAAUUUAUAUAAUAAUAUCCAAUGUCUAACGGCAUAAGUAGGUAAAUAACGUUCCACCCAUACAGGCAUACAAAAUCACGCGUCUAUCUAAGGUGGAGAUAAUGUUGAAGAAAUACCACAAACAAGCUGCAAAUCUGUAUGAAUAAUUCUACUGUGGGCGUAAUGAGCUGGCAGUCGACAGAGUCCACACGGCCAUUGACGCGACAGCUUUCACUUUUAGGUAACACGGUCAAUGAAACAUUUUACAUUAACGAAUGUAGUGUAAACCUAUGCAUGCAAUUUGAAAUAUUAAGCUUUUCUUACGUUCAGCAAUGAAUCUAUCUUUACUUGAUGCAAUUCUACAUAUUUAAUAAAAUGUAAGUAAAAAUAGAAUAAAUAGGACCUGAGAAAAAAGGCACUUUAUUAUCGAAAUGAAAGAAAUUGGAAGCAAUUGCAACAAAAUAAACAUCAUUGUGACGAGUGGGCUGAUAUACAUCCGGGACGCAAAACAAAACUGAAACAAACAAUGCUAAUAUCUAUUUUAACUAGGCAAAUAAAUAUACCACAUGUUAAAUAUCCCAAAUAGACAAAAGAAACUGACGUUGAAAUUAGUAUAGGUAUCCUCUGAGUUGGAUAUCUGGUAGAACGAUAAUGGUAAGUUACAAAUUUUUCACAAUGACAACUUUUUUAUUCAAUUAUAAACUAAAUAAUUUAUAGGAUACUUACUAGUACCUAAUAUAUGUUUAUCCAAUGUAUAUGAGAUUUAACGAUCUUUAUAUUAGCUUCAAAUUAUUAGUAACACUUACUACUACUUUGUUAUUUGUCCCAUGUUUAAUUAUAUAAUAAAUAUCUGCCUUAUCGGUUACACACUAUUGAUUUAUAUGCAAUCUUCACAGCUGACUGGAUUGGGAACAGAGGUCGUCGUGAACCAAAAUUCACGUCUCCCACCCAUAAAGCAAAAGCAAGGUGAAGCCCUUCACGCCUAAGGCUUACCAGAAUCCAGUCAACAUUAGAGUGGACCAUCGACCUCCCCUCAGACAGAUAAGUCGCAUUGGUCAUAGUCGAUUAUACUCGUUGCUAUCUAGAACUAUCGCAAGAAUAAGUAUCGAAAUGACAACACACCCCAGUAAAAUUUUCUAAAGAUAAGAAGUUGAAAUGAUAAACUCGCGAAUUAAACCUAAAAUGUACUGGUAGCCUGUGUGGAUGAUCGGAGCUGUACUUAAUUUAUAAAGAAAGAAAAAAUAUGAUAUAGGUAAGUAGUCUUUCCAUUGUAAGUGCUGUCACGGAAAAUUAAAUUCCUGACCUGUCUUUUCAUCAAAAACUAUUGAACUAAGACCAAAUACUUAACUUCAGAAUAACGUAUUUAUGUAAUAAAUUUUACAGCACACUCUAAAUUUGUACAUUUUAUAUAUUACCUGAAAUGACAAAUAAGCUGAUAGCUCACUUGAUUGAAAGGGGCAUAAUCAUCGCCAAUGUACAGAAUAGCACCAUGCAUAUCAUGGAAUUCGCCGAUAUUUAAUAAGUAGAAUAUGUUUUGUAAUAAUUGUUCUAUUCACAAUUAUUUUUUAUUGUCAAUUAUUUACGUAGGAAAUAUUAAUAUACGAGAACAGACUACAAAUAAAGCAAUAAAAAAUUUAAUAGAAUAUGCGUCUUAGUUAUGUAUCUAAAAAGCAGAAUAUUUUUUUAAAGCGUUCGAGACCUCUGUAUAAUAUAUAAGUAGGCAUUAAAAGAAAAUGCCUCGAUUCUUUUUAAGAAAUAUUUUCUGUUUAGAGUGACCUCUAGCAUGUUCUGUUAAUUUUUGUGAAUUGCAUUAUCUUAAAUACAAAUAUUCUCUUAAUGUAAUUCUGUAAUAGAUUAAUAGAAACUUCAAUAUUGAUAGGUAGAGCUUGCUUAACAUUUAGUCCUUAAUUUUCAGAUCUUUAUGAAAUUUUUAACUAUUAUAUAAUAACAUUUGGACUCGUGGUGAAAUCGCAUAAUCCCAAUUUAUAUGAAAUAAGCUUACCUUUACAAAAGUUUAAAAUUAACCAUUUAUUAAAAUGUAUAACAUUAUCAAAGCAACAUCUUGAUAAUGAAUGGAUAAACUUAUACACAUAGUACUUAACGUAGGCGAACAAAAUGAAAUUUGUACUUUUGACUUCUUUUUUGGAAGGAUGAAAUUUGAACAAUAUUUCAGCUGAAAUACCUAAUGAUAUAGCACCACACAAUAGAUAUUGUUCAUGGAUAUUUUAAUUCUAUAUAAAUACGAUAUUAACAUGGUUCAAAUGAAUGUUUGAAUACGACCGACGGGCCUCUCGGGAAAUACCUAUUUAGCUUUUCAGGUUUCCAGCAUAAUAUUGAAAUAGCAUACAAGUUGUUUGAAGAUUUCAAACUUAAAGAACACAAUUUUUAUUCAAACAAUUAUUUUUAUAAGGAUCAAGUAGUUUCAUAUUGUACCAGACUUGGAACAAGCUACCACAAUUUUUAUUAUAUUUAUAAAUAUACUUUGGAACACAAGAUAAUGGAAAAUACUGAACAAAGAGGUAUUUGCCAUGAAUGUAGGUCAGGCUCGGAAAAAUGAAGACAAUGAAGAAUUAUAUACCUAACUAUAUAUAUUUCUAAGUAAAAUUGAACUCUAUCGUCGUGAGUACUUGCUUAUGUUAACUUAUUGACGAGUAAAUUAAAAUUACUAUGUAACAUUAAUCUGAAAUACUUAUCCAUAAUUCUACUCGUUUUUAUGCAAUUGAUCCUAAAUAUAAACCAUUUACUUGUAACUUCUACAUGCAUAACCCAUUUGUUUGUGUCUAUCGUCUGUACCUACAGCUAGGUAGUGUUUUCGCUGGCUGACAAUUUGCUGCAUAUACAUAUAUAUGUGAAUUCAAUUAGCUAGAAGUCAGAAUACAAUAAGUUCAUCAAUUCAUCGGGUACUGGACAGUCAAGAAUUCAAUAAACCAAAAUUGGACAAACUGCCAUUUAAAUAUUAUAUUUUAUAUUAGCUCGUAUCUACACACACUGUUCCUAAGUUAUUGUCAUGGAUUGAUGGAUGGUAUGGAAAAAUUUUGCAAUAAAGGUUUUUUCGAAAUAAUUAUCACCUUAACUAGAUAAUAUUGCUUUGUUGCAUAGUAGUAGGGUUUGGGUUUGGUUUGGUUACUUUUGUUUCAGUAAAGUACCACAAUGUUGCUGCAAUAUUUACCAGAUGGAAAAAAUAUAAUUAAAUACGCCUGAUAAUGAUCAACAUAAUAAACAGUAAAUGAGAUUGAAUGUUGGAUGAUAACUCUUGAUAUUUUUUCCAAUGAUAAUACCGCUCGUCUAUUAAUGUCUGUGUUGGGUAUGUUGAGUCGUAUAAUCCCUGCAACAUUGUUAUGCUGAAUGACUGAGAGUACUCAUGCAAAUGCAUACUCGCAUUCUGUAAUGGUUGAAAGUGCCCGAUUGUGUUGAGCUAAAUUAUUAUCUCCUUAUUCAAGGUAAUGGUAUGCUUAAGCCUGUAGAUUAAAUUUAUUUAACAAUAUUAUAUGCAUAUUGUAAAUAGAUAUUACAGACUGCUCCUGCAGUCAUUUGCUUAACCCGAGAUUUGUAUUUGUUUAGUUAGGUUUUGUGGAGUUUUUUCACGAGGAGCUGUAAUCUACUAUAGAAACCUCCAUGCUUGAAAAGCAAAAGUCGAAAAUAUGGAAUUAUGUUUACGUAGAUAAGUUACUUCUGCAAGCUUAACUAGAGAUUUGCUUUGGUAGAAGACACCCGGAACACAAACCAUACAUUCAUAGGUAUAUUAGUAUGCUAAUAUUUGAUCUUUUUUUUAUAUCAUUAAUGAUCUUGAAUAAUUUACACUUUAAUCAUUUAGGUACGUUUUCUUUUCAUGUAUUGUCUGUUUAGCAUACGUUAACUAAUGCACGUUUCUCGUAUUGCAUCCUGCUUGUGAUGCGACAUGAUGUACUUAGUUAACAGUACUGACAUUUAAUAAUUCUAAAUAAUACCUUCUGGUUGUGGAUAUAUUAAGUGUAGUAAUUGUACCUAGAUGUAGUACAACUGAUUGGAAUUUUUAUGAUACAUGAAAUUUACUAAUGAAUAACUAUAUAAUUAUAUAUCUACAACAUAAUUUGUAUACCUAGGAGAUAAUAUAAUAGAGAUAUGGAAUGGUUUUGUGUUUCUGUAUGAUUUAGCUAGAAACAUCUUUGAGUUUGACCACUUUUUGCAACUAUUCAAUGACACCGGCAUCUCAUCGGCGAGAGCAGACUGCAAUCACUGCAAUUCCAUUGUAGUCUUAACGGAAAGGAGGAGGAGGCUGUUGAACAUCGUCGUAGAUGUCCAGGCCUCCGCUAUUGAGUGAUGGUGUCAAUAAAAAGGUUGGAGAAUGUCACCUUUUCCUCAAUAUUCUAAUGCAGUCUCUUCAAAGCAAUCUGUCUCUACGUUGCUAGCCGCGUAGAUACACCACAUUACGAAGCAGAUGUCCUGUCUUCACCGCACUGCGGUGACGGGCACUUGACUACCUACCUAACAGUGAACGGCUGUUUGCUGUCACGUUCCUGUAUGCAACACAGUCGGGCGUUUUACUUCAUUGUCGGCAUCAAUAUGAAAUAUGUAAGAAUGAAUGGUUAUACUAUUAUACUCUUAAUCUUAUCUUCAUUAUAAUUUUGAGACUUUUAGGUUAUAUCAUAUUACAUAUUACAAAUAACCAAUUGAUUUUAUUGCACAUAUAAAUAUAUUGAAUUCUUUACCUAGUUAAAGAUAAUAACACAUUAUAAUGCACCGUUUCGAUACGGUUCUAUAUACUGUCGAUUAUAUAGAUCUAUAUAACUUAGGUAUUUGCAUUAUUUCGGACAUCUGUCCGCUUGUUAUUUUAAUCUGUUGUCAGUUACGUCGUGACACAUGAAGCUGACUAUCAGAAUGGCUCUCUCGGGCAAAUCACCAUCAUAUAUCUUGCACGGUGUUGGGAACUCGCGCAGUCUCCCUACCACAUUCUUCGCACAGUGACGGCGAAAAGUCGCGUCGCCUACAAAUGUCGUCGCUUACUGUCACGGUCUUCGCACACCGACGGCGAGAACUCGCGUCGCCAUCCGAUCACCUAGCUCACUGCUACUUCCCCGCACACCGACGGCGGGACACGCGCCGCCGACCGAUCUUUGCGCUCGUCACCACGAUCCCCGCACACGGACGGCGUGAACUCGCGUCGUCAACCGACCUCGGCGCUCUCGGCCACGGUUUCCGCACAGCUACGGCGAGACCUCGCGUCGCCAAACAACCUCACGGUCUACGAGCAGCGUCGACGGAAGCUCGUGCCAACAUCCGACCCCGUCGCUUACUGCCACCGUCCUCGCACAGCGACGACGGCUCGCGCUACCUGAUGACCUCGCCGCUUGCUGCUUAUUGCAACGUUCCACACACAGCGACGAGAGCUCGUGUUACAUUCCGAUUUCGUCGCUUGCGGUCACGUUCCUGCGCGCGCAAGAUGUCUGCAUAGCUUAGUCCUUCACUACCGACGACAGCGUGUGAAAUGCGUAAGACUGAAUAUUUUAUACUUUAGAUACCAAUCCAGUUAGGUUACAAAGAAUAAAUUUUCCUACAUAAAACAUCGAACCGAUUUUCUAAAUAAAACAAUGACAUUUUAUUUUAUUUGAAAUAAAAUUAUAUCUUACAAUGUAUCUAUAAUAUAUACCACAGUAAAUGAAUAUGAAUACUUGGAUAGUUCCGGACGCCAGUCCGUAUAGUUUCGACAUUUUAUUUCUGUCAUCAGUUUGCGUCGUCAUCUUGACUGCUGGAGAGCUGCUCUCUCUAGCAGAUUAUUUCUGCCACAUUUCUCCCACAUCAAGGACGAGAACUUGUGCCACCUUGAACUCAUCGUUAGCGGCCCCGUUCUUAGUACAGCGAGAAUGGGAAGUCACGUUGCUUACUGCGACGUCAAAAGCUCGCAAGUCCAUCAAGUUCAUCGCUCGUUACCAAGCUCCUCACACAGCGGUGAGAGUUCGUGUUACCUAUAGACGUAGUUGAUCAUGACUUGCUGCCACGUACUACGUUACGACAAGAGCUCGCCUUGGCAACCAAUAUUGACAAUAUUGCUGUCAUAUACCUGCACACAACGUGUCUGCACAGUUUAGUUCUUCACUACUGACGACAGCGUGCAAAAUACGUAAGACUAUAAUUUUAUACUUUACUAUAUUGUUAGCUUAUAAAUUGUAGCAAAAAAACCAAUUUAUCUAGACAAAACAUCAUACAUCUACAUAUAUCGUAUCGAUUAUCUACUAUUGAUAGAUGCCCGGAGCCAAUACAAAUAAUUUUACUUAAUUUAAAUCGACUCCGAGCAUCUUUGCGUUUAUCUUAUUCAUGUGUCAUCAGUUUGUAUCGUCAACUAUCGGAGAGCGGCUCUCUCUGGCAGAUUGUCUCCGUCACGUUUGUCGCAAAGCAAGGACGAGAACUCGGGCCGACAACCAAAAUCUUAAGCUACCACAGCGAAAAUGAAGUCGUGUCUCCUCCUGAAGUCAUCGCUCAUUGCGACAUCGGAAGAGCAUUGCCUAGCGAGAUAGUCACUCGCUGUCAUGCUUCUCACGUAGCGACGAGAGCUCGGGUUACCUGCGGCCCUCAUUGUUCGCGGUUUUCUGCCACGUGAGAUUUUAUUAAUAAUAUUUAUCAGAGACCUGUAUCUAUAAUACUAGUAAUAUGUAAUUAAAUCAUUCCAGACAUCUGUCCACUUCUUUUCAACAUUUUUAUUAAUCUGACAACAGUUUUUCGAGAUCAUGUCUCGAAUACCGGUUGUCUCUGGCAUAUCUUUGUCUGUCCAUUUUGGCUACAGUAUGAAAAUAGCUGAAUGGUUCUCUCAGCAAGCACUCGCUUCAUAGCUACAUGUCAUGACCUGGACUCACUAAAGUAUAGAUGAUCAAGUUUAUUAUGAAACUCGUAUGACUAGCCAAACUUCUACUCCACUACUGGUGACAGUGAAUUCUUAUUAAAGGGUUCAAGUGAAAGGUAACGCAAAUUAGUCGAUCUGAUAACAGUUAACUGCUAUAAGUAGGGGUAGUUAGUAACAUAAUUGGGCUAUGGAAUUUUUUUAUAUGAUUUAGCUAGAGACACCGUCUUGAGUGCGACUACGUAAUGGCACCAGUUCCUAGUAGUUAAACGCUACGACCACAAAGCUGCAAGGCCACUGCUGUCACAAUGAAGCGGAGGAGCCUGUUAUUUAUUGUGCAAGUCUCCAUAGACAACCUGUACAACACAACUAUCGUAUCAAGUCAGCGGUACUCACCGUUACCUCUGUAUGCUAAUGCCAUCUCUUCAAAGUCUUCUGGUUCUGCAUUGUACUGCUAACAUACAAGUCUACCAUUCUCGUCACUCACUGCACGCUGCUACAUUACUACGUGCAACGUGUUCACACUACAGGCGACAGCAUGAAAAAUAUAUUGAGUCGGAACUACGGCAGAAAGCCGUCAUAUUACUGUUUCCCGUAAAGAAAUACUACGUUAUGAAGAUAUCUAAAAGGUUUUCUUAACAUACUGUUUGCAUUGGCUUAUUGCAACUCUUUAUGGUGUUUUUGUCCUACAUAUCGGUAUUACAGUCUCCAUGAGCAAGAAAUAAUCACAAGCUUCGAAUAUAAUAUAGCCAACGUAUAAAACAAGACUUCCCACUUCGGGCCAUUAAUUCGACAAUGCCACUUAUAAAGGUAACGGAUAUUUCUGCACCUGAUCAUGCUCCUUAUAAAAUUGUCGUCAGCACGCUGCAUGCCCACUGCCAAAGUGUUCUAAGCCUGCUUUCAUAAUAGUGCAAAUACUGGUAUCGAAUAUCUACAUAACUGUCAUCGGUCAUCCUGCGGUACAACAGUGUCAUCAGUAGAGGAUCAACAUAGAUGAAACCGAUAAAAAAGGUAAUAAACAUCACAACGAUUUUCAAUCCAGAGGCUAUAAAAAAGACGAUCAACAAAAUCUCUUUAUUCUCAAACGCUAUGUAUGCGAAGCUCUGCGACAUUAACUACCAAAUAAGUUUAGACUAUAAUAAAUCAAAUCUGCGAAACAAUUUAUCAACAUUACAACAGCGAGUCCAUAUUGAAUUUCGGCUGAGAAUCAACAGGUAAGAAUUUUCUUAUCAAGAUUUCUCAAGUUGGUUUACCAGAGCUGAAUACAAACAACCAGAGAAAAGGUACUGUAUCAAGCUAGAUGUAUUCCAACUUGUCCUAAUUUACACCUACAGGUGGGGAAUCGUUUAUACCAGCUGCAUAUUUUUUUACGACACAAGUAUAUUUUUUAUUCAUACCCUUGAAAGUUGACGAAGAGCAACGAAGGUGUGUCGAUCAUCCUUGUAUGUAUCACGCAGAAGCUACAACCAAACCUAUCAAUAAGCAGAGGUGGCAAGUUUUAAGUCAACGGACCUCAUGAAGUUAUCAAUGGUGUGCAUUUGAUUUUAUAUUCUAUUCAAAUCUUCACAUCCAUUGUUGCAAGCAUCUUAUGUACUGGUAACUAGCAACUAUUUCAACACGGUAAACUGUUUAUACUUUUAUAAGUAUGCCUUGAUAUUCUUUUCGCAUGACUGUUAAUUGGUAUGUGAACUACACUGUAUUUUUUGACUAUGUUAGAUUUGCUAAAUCUAAUUAUAAGCUUUAAACUAAUAACAACGAUGGAUCGCACCUUAACUAUGACAUCUACUGCAAAAAGCCGAAAUCGAAUGCCACUUCAAGUUUAUCAAAGUACAAUACUUCUCGACGAGUUACCAAUGAGAGUACAGAUCUGCUGCUUUCGUUACGAAAUUCAAUUCAAACGCCUGUCUCUCUUUAUAUACAAUAAUUAGUAUGCUGUUUUUGGGCGUUUAUUCGCCCUUUUACUUUACUAUGUCUAAUUUGUUACAUAGUUCCUGCUCAUCUGCAUAUUGCAAAUUUUACUCAUUAAAGAUCCGCUAAGAGGAUUAAAAAUGAAAUGACUAUAAUGAGAAGUAAGGAUACCAGCCUCAUCAGAAUCCAUCCCGUCUUGUUUACUAAUAGUAUACAAUCAUUAAUCCUACAAGGAGAUUAAUAAAUGUAAUCGAGGAUUGAUCUGUUUGCUCAGAAAUAGAUUCCUGUUCCAAGAAUUUACUUGUCGGAAAAUUAGGAUCUGGUGGAAGAUAUUACUUUCGACAAAUAUAUGCACCUCAGCGUUUAACGUGAACUUUGGUGACAGUACACAUAUAUUUAAUUAAUCCUACAGUAUAAUAGCAUCUAUAUGGGAUUAUGGAAAACCAAAGAACUGACGCAGACGCUUAGAUGAUGACAAUAAUUAGCAAGUGGUCAUUUCUUCAAUUACUUUGAAACUUAAAAAUUCAAAAUAGUCAUAAUUUUUCUAGUACGACAUUUCAUUAACGAGCGAUAAUGUGCCCCUUUAUGUUGCCGAUACUAAUCUGUUACACAGAUACUGCUGAUUACUAUAGAACAUUUUCCUGCCUCGAUGUUAAUUCAGAGAAUGGCGACAAGAAUAAGGAAAACACCAAAUAAGAUGACAAAUAAACCUCAGGCUGACCCCAUUGUCUCUACUCAGUAUUCGAAGAUAUGCAACUACAUAUCGUUUUAUUUACUAGUCUUAAUCAGAAAUCUGUCAAUCUACAUAAAAAUAGUAAACCACUGUAUUCAUCUAAUACUCGGGUCAAAUUUGUGGAAUGGUGAGCAUUUUGUAUUUUACAAUUUACAAAGAAAUUAUUAACGACACUUGUAUCCUACAAAGAUUACCAGGCGUCCGCAUUAAUAUAUAAUACUAUUUGACGGUAAUCUUAAUAAUAAAAUUUCUGUCUUGCAAUGUUAUGCCUGGCUUGACUUUAGCAUUAUGCAUUCCUGCUAUUGACUGUAUAAGUUAGACAAUUUUCUGUAACAGAAUGUUAAUAUUACUAUCGCAAAAUUUUUUGUUCCAGUGUUCUAAUUUUAGUAUUAAAAUGUAUGAUAUUAUUUAGCUCAGAUAUGUAAUGCGAAUUUUUGGUUACUUUCAAAUUUAUUUCAGAUAGUAGGUACUCCAGUUGAAUGUUAUUACAAUUAAAAAAGUCCCAUUAAAACAUAAAAAGGGCUGUAAGAAUAUACACACCUAACCUACUUAUGACGAUACUAUCGCCCAUAAUUUAUUACUCAAUAUUUUACUUGAGUACCUAUUUAAUUAAAUAUUGAUAUACAAAUAUCAAGCCAAUUAAUACUGUAAUUAUACCUAAUCAUAGACUCUUUCAGAUCGGGAUGACACAGGUAACACAUAUUUCUAUAUAUUUUUGUUUCGAUCCAAAUAAUUUUAAUUUUCAGAAAAAAAAAGUAGGCCUAUUUAAAAUUUAUUUUAAAGUCUGAAGUAUAUUAUGAAAAAAAUCUAAAUGAAAACAAAUUCAAAAAAGUAAUUACAAAAAACUCAUCAGAUUAUAAAAAUAGGAUUUAAUAAAAAUUGAAUUUUUAAUGAUAUCAUGUUUCUACUGAAGCAAUAACAUCUCGAAAUAUUCUCGUCGAAUAGGUGAGUGUAAGUCCAAUUUCAGGAAAGAAAAAUGAAAAUAAACAAAUGCGGGAAUAUAACGCUAAUCGGUAAUAAUUUAAAAUACUUUGCUACAGUAAUGUAAAAUAUAAAAACAAACUACCUAAACUCGGUCUAAAUGUUAAAGAAUUUCUGGUAAAUGAAAUUUAAAAAUAAUUUCAAAGAAACUCAAUAGAGGUAUGUAUAAAAACUUUCAGAAAACUACAAUCAAAA
rnacentral:lncRNA from 1 species